UUCCUGGUGGUCCAGUGGUUAGGACUCUAUACUCCCAAUGAGAGGGCCCAUGUCCAAACCUUGGUCAGGGAA
rnacentral:tRNA from 1 species